rnacentral:rRNA from 1 species
UACAGAGGGUGCGAGCGUUAUUCGGAAUUACUGGGCGUAAAGCGUGCGUAGACGGUAGCGUAAGUCAGAUGUGAAAGCCCCGGGCUCAACCUGGGAAUUGCAUUUGAGACUGCUUUGCUCGGGUGCGGAAGAGGGAAGCGGAAUUUCCGGUGUAGCGGUGAAAUGCGUAGAUAUCGGAAGGAACACCAGUGGCGAAAGCGGCUUCCUGGUCCGACACCGACGUUCAGGCACGAAAGCGUGGGGAGCAAACAGG